rnacentral:rRNA from 1 species
AUUGAACGCUGGCGGCAUGCCUUACACAUGCAAGUCGAACGGCAGCACGGGAGCAAUUCCUGGUGGCGAGUGGCGAACGGGUGAGUAAUAUAAUCGGAACGUGCCCAGUAGUGGGGGAUAACCCGGCGAAAGCCGGACUAAUACCGCAUACGACCUACGGGUGAAAGCGGGGGAUCGCAAGACCUCGCGCUAUUGGAGCGGCCGAUAUCAGAUUAGCUAGUUGGUGGGUAAAAGCCUACCAAGGCGACGAUCUGUAGCUGGUCUGAGAGGACGACCAAGCCGACACUGGGGACUGAGACACGGCCCAGACUCCUACGGGAGGCAGCAGU